rnacentral:rRNA from 1 species
GCAUAUCAAUAAGCGGAGGAAAAGAAACCAACAGGGAUUGCCCUAGUAACGGCGUAGUGAAGCGGCAACAGCUCAAAUUUGAAAUCUGGCUCUUUCAGAGUCCGAGUUGUAAUUUGCAGAGGGCGCUUUGGCUUUGGCAGCGGUCCAAGUUCCUUGGAACAGGACGUCACAGAGGGUGAGAAUCCCGUACGUGGUCGCUAGCUAUUGCCGUGUAAAGCCCCUUCGACGAGUCGAGUUGUUUGGGAAUGCAGCUCUAAAUGGGAGGUAAAUUUCUUCUAAAGCUAAAUAUUGGCCAGAGACCGAUAGCGCACAAGUAGAGUGAUCGAAAGAUGAAAAGCACUUUGGAAAGAGAGUCAAACAGCACGUGAAAUUGUUGAAAGGGAAGCGCUUGCAGCCAGACUUGCUUGCAGUUGCUCAUCCGGGCUUUUGCCCGGUGCACUCUUCUGCAGGCAGGCCAGCAUCAGUUUGGGCGGUGGGAUAAAGGUCUCUGUCAUGUACCUCUCUUCGGGGAGGCCUUAUAGGGGAGGCGACAUACCACCAGCCUAGACUGAGGUCCGCGCAUCUGCUAGGAUGCUGGCGUAAUGGCUGUAAGCGGCCCGUCUUGAAACACGGACCAAGGAGUCUAACAUCUAUGCGAGUGUUUGGGUGUCAAGCCCGAGCGCGUAAUGAAAGUGAACGGAGGUGGGAACCCGCAAGGGUGCACCAUCGACCGAUCCUGAAGUUUACGGAAGGAUUUGAGUAAGAGCAUGGCUGUUGGGACCCGAAAGAUGGUGAACUAUGCUUGAAUAGGGUGAAGCCAGAGGAAACUCUGGUGGAGGCUCGCAGCGGUUCUGACGUGCAAAUCGAUCGUCAAAUUUGGGCAUAGGGGGCGAAAGACUAAUCGAACUAUCUAGUAGCUGGUUCCUGCCGA